CCUACGGGGGGCUGCAGUGGGGAAUAUUGGACAAUGGGCGAAAGCCUGAUCCAGCCAUGCCGCGUGUGUGAAGAAGGCCUUCGGGUUGUAAAGCACUUUCAGUGGGGAAGAAAGCCUUGGGGCUAAUACCCUCGAGGAAGGACAUCACCCACAGAAGAAGCACCGGCUAACUCCGUGCCAGCAGCCGCGGUAAUACGGAGGGUGCGAGCGUUAAUCGGAAUUACUGGGCGUAAAGCGCGCGUAGGCGGUCUGAUAAGCCGGUUGUGAAAGCCCCGGGCUCAACCUGGGAACGGCAUCCGGAACUGGCAGGCUAGAGUGCAGGAGAGGAAGGUAGAAUUCCCGGUGUAGCGGUGAAAUGCGUAGAGAUCGGGAGGAAUACCGGUGGCGAAGGCAGUCCUCUGGACUGACACUGACGCUGAGGUGCGAAAGCGUGGGGAGCAAACAGGAUUAGAUACCCCAGUAGUC
rnacentral:rRNA from 1 species